AUACUUACCUGGCAGGGGAGAUACCAUGAUCACGAAGGUGGUUUUCCCAGGGCGAGGCUUAUCCAUUGCACUCCAGAUGUGCUGACCCCUGCGAUUUCCCCAAAUGUGGGAAACUCGAGUGCAUAAUUUGUGGUAGUGGGGGACUGCGUUCGUGCUUUCCCCUG
rnacentral:snRNA from 1 species